GAGCAGAUGGCAAUAAGAAUUGUCUACGUUACAAGAGUUAUCCUACGUUAUUAAUUUAGAAUACUAUCGUGACAAAUAUUACAAGAUUAUUUCUCACUGAUAACCGCCGAUUCAAAAUUUGCUCGAUUAAUCAGUUCUCGCGCGACUCAGUUAUUUUAUUCCGCGGAUAUACAUAUACCUUUAAUUUAAUUUGUAUAUUAUAUUUAUGUUGAAAUCUAUAUUAAAAUAGUAAAAUCACUGUUAAUUGUUACUAAACGAUUUAAAAAGCAAAGAUAUACUAUUUAUCAUGCGCGGAAAACUUUUGAAAGUAGUUUCAGCGUAGCAUAGUCACGACAUGUCUGCUCAGUUUACUGCGCAUUUUUCGAAUUCCUUUCGUCACCGUUGCCUGCUUCAGACACCGAGUGUCGAGCAGAUCCGUGCGAUCGUGCUUUUAUUUGAGUUAUUUCUUUGUCCUCAGUUGACAAAGUUCGCGGCGCGAUUGCGGUUAAUGUCGGUAGUGCCGUACAGAGAGUUGCGCGAUCGUAAUUUUUGCGAGUGUUAUGCUACUGAGGAGCAGCCAUGCAUUACUGAGAGGAGGAGGAGGCCUAGGAAAUAUCGGGUGCCGGCGGAGCAACCGAAGGAUUAUCAACGUUGAGCAAUAACUCCGCUGCUACGCAUCAUGUAUCGUCGACGAGUAUUCGGCAAUUUCCAACGAUUGGCCGGAAUGUCUGCUUCAUAGUGCGGUGGGAUGAAUGUUUAAUCAAGCCUUGUGUGGCGGGAGUCGAACGGAAAACUGUAUGCUGCACAUGGAUCCUUCGUGGAAGCAACGAGAUGCGUACUUCCAACAGCUUUGGAAAUUGGAGUUAUAUUACAAUUGGGUAUGUCACGCGAUUCGUGUCGAAUUUAUAAUCGCUGUCUAAAGUGCGCCUGUGACUCUUUUGUCACGCGAUAUUACGGGACCACUGUUGGCAGGCGAAACGCGUCACUGGAGUACUAAGUAUUCGUCAGUUAACGUUUUGUAGCUUCUGCGCAUCUACCCGCCACCCUGAUAUUCGAUGGGGAUGUAAUGAACGGCGUAAUGAAAAGCAACUAAGGCUUUUAUCAAGAAGCGAAACACAAAGACUAAGCACCCUUAACGUCCAUGGACGGACAUGCGACGCAGCUCCUUUACGAGAAAGUCGGGAGCGUCGCUGGAAUUAAACAAGUAACAAAGCGUUCUGCGCUUUACGCACAGCCAUUCCUGUCAACCAAGAACAGCGGGAUUGCCGACGCCAUGGGUGGCGGGCGAGCAUUUUGCUAGAUCACGCCGAAGGGACGAGAAAAGAGGUGCGAGUGAGAGGAAGCAAAGGGGAACGAAGAAGAGAAUAGCUGACAAAAAGGGCGAGGACAUAGUUGGCGGGGGGGCUGUCGUUAAUAACCGGACUCGACUUGAUUAUGGUCGCCACCGGCGGGCGCAUCGGCCGCUUUAGCCUCAGCGGUCGCAUCGAACGAGGUAGCCGCUAAUGGGCCGGAUAUGGAUGAAAAAUUAUCUCGGCUUAAUGCGCGCGCUCGCGCGAGCACACGGCCGUUUUUCGUUAUUACGCGGAGCUUUAAGGCUCCGCCGGGAAUCGACGCGAUACCAACGCGCCUUUUGCUUUCGGGAAUCUCGUUCUUUUUUCCUCUCUCCCUUGUUCCUCUCUUUGCUCCUGUUAUCUACCCGUCUCUCUGACCACCCGAAUUCGUCCCAUAAUUAAGCGUUUGAUUAUCGGACUAAUCGCGCCGGGCGUUUCCAGCGGAACGGUCGGCACAGUUGAUUUCCGACGCCCGGACCGGAAUAAUUUAAUUUAUGGCGAGCACUCUUCCCCGCGUCGCGCCUCUACGUGCUGUUCCGCGCCUAAAUGUUUAUAACACCGACGUUGGUUCGUGCGGCCGAUAAUGUAAACGGAAUGAUUGAUUAAGCGCCGAAUCAGUGGUCGCGCGGA
rnacentral:lncRNA from 1 species